GGAAUUUUCCGCAAUGGGCGAAAGCCUGACGGAGCAAUCUCGCGUGAGGGAUGACGGCCUAUGGGUUGUAAACCUCUUUUUUCAGGGAGGAAUAAAUGACGUGUACCUGAAGAAUAAGCAUCGGCUAACUCCGUGCCAGCAGCCGCGGUAAGACGGAGGAUGCAAGUGUUAUCCGGAAUCACUGGGCGUAAAGCGUCUGUAGGUGGUUUAAUAAGUCAACUGUUAAAUCUUGAAGCUCAACUUCAAAAUCGCAGUCGAAACUAUUAGACUAGAGUAUAGUAGGGGUAAAGGGAAUUUCCAGUGGAGCGGUGAAAUGCGUAGAGAUUGGAAAGAACACCGAUGGCGAAGGCACUUUACUGGGCUAUUACUAACACUCAGAGACGAAAGCUAGGGUAGCAAAUGGGAUUAGAUACCCCAGUAGUC
rnacentral:rRNA from 1 species